CCAUAGCUCAGUUGGUUAGAGCGUGGUGCUGGCAACACCAAGGUUGCAAGUUUGAUCCCCAUAAGGG
rnacentral:tRNA from 1 species